GUAGUCCACGCCGUAAACGAUGGCCACUCGGCCUUUGGAGGCGGAAUCUCCGUCUUUGGGGGCCUUAGCUAACGCGGGAAGUGGCCCGCCUGGGAACUACGAGCGCAAGCUUAAAACUCAAAGGAAUUGACGGGGCCCGCACAAGCAGCGGAGCGUGUGGUUUAAUUCGAUGCAACGCGCAGAACCUUACCCAGGCUUGACAUGGCGGCAGUAGUCCUGGGGAAACCAGGGGCGACUCGUCAAGGCGAGUACCGUCACAGAUGCUGCAUGGCUGUCGUCAGCUCGUGUCGUGAGAUGUUGGGUUAAG
rnacentral:rRNA from 1 species